CUCAGGCCCUUGGCCCAGGUCCUUGCCUGUGCUCAGCCUCACACUUUGCUGAUCCCAGCUUUGUCUUGCUAAAUUGACUUCCUGGCUUGGCCUUAGACCUGCCUCCUCCCUGCAGGCUGACUGCUGCUUGGGCCUGCUUUGCUCUACUCUGCUCCCUUUGGUGCUGUGGGACUGCUCCCUGUGCUGAAGAGGAUACUGCCCUGUGCCUGCCUUGUUGUCAUUGUCCUUGGCUCACCUCCCCUUGCUGAGCAGCCCACUCGUGAUGCUCUUGGAGAUGAUCCAGUGACUGAAUGGAGGUUGCCCAGUGGGAUGUGCGACUCCUGGCCCUGAUGUUGAAAUCUGAACCACCUAUGCCACCAUCUUCAACUUACUGGGGACUUUCACAAGUUUAUGUCCAAGGUACAUCUGGAGCGGAGCUUGGGAACAGAGAUGGUAGGAAACAGAAAGAUAGAAUGAGAAAGAAGGGAAGAGGAUCAAAAUACUGAAAAGAAGCAAGGAGAUGGGGAGAUGAGAGACAGUACGUUGGAACAAGAGAAGUGAUUACAGCACACAAGAAAGGCUGGGGAAGCUGCUUUCCAUAAAGAAAGGACAAUAUCCCCGGCUUUGUGUGCAGAAGCAGCCACCUCUUCAAAGUCAAGGAUUUGGUCCACCUUACUCUUCUGAGAUUUCUUACCUUGUUUGUUGACUCCAGGUAUAUCUGAAAGAUGGGCUCUGGAAGGUAUUCCAGAUUGCUGGAAGUUGCUGUUGGAUUUUCCUUUCUCCCCAGAAAGAUUCAGUUCUUGAGUGUCUAGCCUAACCUCUUGGCUGUUACUGAUUAAUGCCUGUUAGCUCAGGGGAAUUAGCAUUGGAUUUGGAUCCAAUUAGCAUUGGAUUAGCAAAGGAGUUCCAAGGACAGAAAUCUAAGAAGAAAAGAACUUAGUUGGUGAAAGUGGUCCUAGAGAUAUGUGACAAGCUGGGGUCCUUAAGCAGAUAAUCAAUUUAUGUGGUUUGGUUUGAAAAUGACAAUGCAGAGUUGAGAGCAAAAUCAGUUGUCUUUUAUUUAUUUUAAAUUCCAAAAGAGAAGCAAAUCCUAUUUUCCUAGUCAUAGCAAGUCCAAAAGUGUUCUCCAUCUGGUUUAUUACUGUCUGUCUCUGAUCACCUUAUAGGUUGCUUCUUCAUUGCUAUGCAGCCUGUAUGUUGGACAAUAUCAUCACUUCAGUUGCAUUUUUGAUCACUUUUUCCUUAGAGUCCCCAUUCACAGAACCAUAUGAUCACAUGAGUCUCAGCUUUCAUUUUAAAGAGUCUAACUGGCAUUGCCUGGUUGGAAACUUGAAAAGUGGACGCUAAGGGCUCAAACCUGAAAGGAAAAGAAAAAAUACUUGAAAUUCUUUCUUUUUCCGUUGUUCAACAUAAAUAAUUGGAUCAUCCUUUAUUAAGACAAUCUUGUAACUUUUGUGGGGUCUCACCCUUUCUAUAGCUUUGGAUUAACAUUAUUAAAUUAAAUCUCUUAAUUUACAUCUUAACUUUGCCUCUUAAAAAUAGUAGAAAAAAUAAA